CAGGCAUAAUGAUGAGAGAUUAUCAUAUCUGAUACUUUCAGUGAUGAGCUAAUUACCUCCUACUCAUACUGA